CGAAUGCCAUGUACUUAUACUCGGGAGUCAGACUGCGAGUGAUAAGAUCCGUAGUCGAAAGGGAAACAGCCCAGACCACCAGUUAAGGUCCCCAAAUAUAUGUUAAGUGGAAAAGGAUGUGGGGUUGCUUAGACAACCAGGAUGUUGGCUUAGAAGCAGCCACCAUUGAAAGAGUGCGUAAUAGCUCACUGGUCGAGUGACCCCGCGCCGAAAAUGUACCGGGGCUAAACAUAUUACCGAAACUGUGGAUGAACCUCUUUAGAGGUUCGUGGUAGGAGAGCGUUCUAAGGGCGGUGAAGUCAGACCGGAAGGACUGGUGGAGCGCUUAGAAGUGAGAAUGCCGGUAUGAGUAGCGAAAGAAGGGUGAGAAUCCCUUCCACCGAAUAUCUAAGGUUUCCUGAGGAAGGCUCGUCCGCUCAGGGUUAGUCGGGACCUAAGCCGAGGCCGAUAGGCGUAGGCGAUGGACAACAGGUAGAGAUUCCUGUACCAGUGCUAAUUGUUUAACCGAUGGGGUGACACAGAAGGAUAGGGAAUCGCACGAAUGGAAAUGUGCGUCCAAGCAGUGAGUGUGAGAAGUAGGCAAAUCCGCUUCUCGCGAAGCAUGAGCUGUGAUGGGGAAGGAAAUUAAGUACGGAAGUUCCUGAUUUCACGCUGUCAAGAAAAGCCUCUAGGAAGAGUAGUACUGCCCGUACCGCAAACCGACACAGGUAGAUGAGGAGAGAAUCCUAAGGUGAGCGAGAGAACUCUCGUUAAGGAACUCGGCAAAAUGACCCCGUAACUUCGGGAGAAGGGGUGCUCUAUUAGGGUGCAAGCCCGAGAGAGCCGCAGUGAAUAGGCCCAGGCGACUGUUUAGCAAAAACACAGGUCUCUGCAAAACCGUAAGGUGACGUAUAGGGGCUGACGCCUGCCCGGUGCUGGAAGGUUAAGAGGAGUGCUUAGCUUCGGCGAAGGUACGAAUUGAAGCCCCAGUAAACGGCGGCCGUAACUAUAACGGUCCUAAGGUAGCGAAAUUCCUUGUCGGGUAAGUUCCGACCCGCACGAAAGGCGCAACGAUCUGGGCACUGUCUCAACGAGAGACUCGGUGAAAUUAUAGUACCUGUGAAGAUGCAGGUUACCCGCGACAGGACGGAAAGACCCCGUGGAGCUUUACUGCAACCUGAUAUGGAAUGUUUGUACCGCUUGUACAGGAUAGGUAGGAGCCGAAGAGACGUGUGCGCUAGCAUACGAGGAGGCAAUGGUGGGAUACUACCCUGGCUGUAUGACCAUUCUAACCCGCCACGCUUAGCGCGUGGGGAGACAGUGUCAGGUGGGCAGUUUGACUGGGGCGGUCGCCUCCUAAAGAGUAACGGAGGCGCCCAAAGGUUCCCUCAGAAUGGAUGGAAAUCAUUCGCAGAGUGUAAAGGCACAAGGGAGCUUGACUGCGAGACUGACAAGUCGAGCAGGGACGAAAGUCGGGCUUAGUGAUCCGGUGGUUCCGCAUGGAAGGGCCAUCGCUCAACGGAUAAAAGCUACCCCGGGGAUAACAGGCUUAUCUCCCCCAAGAGUCCACAUCGACGGGGAGGUUUGGCACCUCGAUGUCGGCUCGUCGCAUCCUGGGGCUGUAGUCGGUCCCAAGGGUUGGGCUGUUCGCCCAUUAAAGCGGCACGCGAGCUGGGUUCAGAACGUCGUGAGACAGUUCGGUCCCUAUCCGUCGCGGGCGCAGGAAAUUUGAGAGGAGCUGUCCUUAGUACGAGAGGACCGGGAUGGACACACCGCUGGUGUACCAGUUGUUCCGCCAGGAGCAUCGCUGGGUAGCUAUGUGUGGCAGGGAUAAACGCUGAAAGCAUCUAAGCGUGAAGCCCCCCUCAAGAUGAGAUUUCCCAUUUCUUCGGAAAGUAAGAUCCCUGAAAGAUGAUCAGGUAGAUAGGUUUGGAGUGGAAGUGUAGCGAUACAUGGAGCGGACAAAUACUAAUCGAUCGAGGACUUAACCAAAA
rnacentral:rRNA from 1 species